rnacentral:rRNA from 1 species
UACGAAGGGGGCUAGCGUUGUUCGGAAUUACUGGGCGUAAAGCGCGCGCAGGCGGUUCUCCAAGUCAGUGGUGAAAGCCCGGAGCUCAACUCCGGAACUGCCAUUGAAACUGUUGAACUUGAGGACGAGAGAGGUGAGUGGAAUUCCCAGUGUAGAGGUGAAAUUCGUAGAUAUCGGGAGGAACACCAGUGGCGAAGGCGAUUAUCUGGGGUGAAUCUGACGCUGAGGAACGAAAGCUAGGGGAGCAAACGGG